rnacentral:rRNA from 1 species
UACGUAGGGUGCGAGCGUUAAUCGGAAUUACUGGGCGUAAAGCGUGCGCAGGCGGUUUUUCAAGACCGAUGUGAAAUCCCCGGGCUUAACCUGGGAAUGGCAUUGGUGACUGGAAGGCUAGAGUGUGUCAGAGGGGGGUAGAAUUCCACGUGUAGCAGUGAAAUGCGUAGAGAUGUGGAGGAAUACCGAUGGCGAAGGCAGCCCCCUGGGAUAACACUGACGCUCAUGCACGAAGCGUGGGGAGCAAACAGG